rnacentral:lncRNA from 10 species
CCCUCCAGGCGGCAGCGGAAGGUGGGAGCGACGACUGCAAAACGGCAGCGAUGGGGUGGGUAGGCAGGCCGCUUUCAGCGCGCUUCUAACAAGGUGGAGAGAGGCGCUUCACUUCCCUACCGCCCUUACCGCCGCUCCGUCUUGUCUCCCACCGACUCACAGGGAGGCUUGCUGCUCCUCCGCGGCCGUUACAGAGAGCGGGGCUUCUGCGGCCGCUACCGUUUCCCUGGGGCUAGGUUGCUUCGCAGAAGGCUCUGGCCCUGAGUCCGAGGGGGACUGCGGGGUCCAGGGGCGAUGAAUGGUGAGGUGGCUUCAGUCCGCCCUCCCCGGGGACGCUGAGCGUGUUCGUGUUCGUGUUUGUGUUUGUGUUUGUGUUGGACACCCCCGCCCCCGCACGUCCGCCUCGUCACUCCUCCCCUCCUCACUCCCGCCACCUGGAGCGAAUCUGAUCGUGUCCCUGUUUCCUCCCUCAGCUCCCGCAACCUCCGGAGCUUGUGCGCGUACUUCAGGGACCGGCACCACGUCACCGUCACCUCCUGAGUAGUGAGUUCCCCUCUGAUGAAACCACUGGUGUGUUUACUCACCAUCCCCACCAUUUUUUUUUCCCCAACCUGAUGGAAGGAAGUACAUAAUGGAGAGCAAGUUUUUAAAGCACGGUCGUGUCGUGUGAACUUGCUCUAGCCAAAUUAGGUUUAUAGCACUUUUUUUGGCUCUCAUUACCUCCAGUCCCCACAUAAACAAGAGUGACCAGCUGGGUCAUCCGCAAGACCGUUUGAAAUUAUUGUGGCUUGGGUGGAAACUUAAAGGAGUGAAGUAUCUGCUUUCCAGAAAAAUCGUUGUCAUUCAAAGUGAAAUUAAACUUGUUUUCUUUGCAA